rnacentral:rRNA from 1 species
AUUGAACGCUGGCGGCAGGCUUAACACAUGCAAGUCGAACGAGUGGCGGACGGGUGAGUAAUGUCUGGGAAACUGCCUGAUGGAGGGGGAUAACUACUGGAAACGGUAGCUAAUACCGCAUCCCAUCAGAUGUGCCCAGAUGGGAUUAGCUAGUUGGUGGGGUAACGGCUCACAUAGGCGACGAUCCCUAGCUGGUCUGAGAGGAUGACCAGCCACACGGGAACUGAGACACGGUCCAGACUCCUAAGGGAGGAAGCAGGGGGGAAUAGUGCACAAUGGGAGCAAGCCUGAUGCAGCCAUGCCGCGUGUAUGAAGAAGGCCUUCGGGUGGUAAAGUACUUGCAGCGAGGAGGCGUUACUCGCAGAAGAAGCACCGGCUAACUCCGUGCCAGCAGCCGCGGUAAUAC